rnacentral:rRNA from 1 species
UAGUCCACGCCGUAAACGAUGAAUACUAGGUGCAGCGGGUAUCGACCCCUGCUGUGCCGUAGCUAACGCGUUAAGUAUUCCGCCUGGGGAGUACGGCCGCAAGGCUAAAACUCAAAGAAAUUGACGGGGGCCCGCACAAGCGGUGGAGCAUGUGGUUUAAUUCGAUGCAACGCGCAGAACCUUACCUGGGCUUGAAAUCCUUUGACAACCAUAGAGAUAUGGCUUUCUCUCUUUGAGAGACAAAGUGACAGGUGCUGCAUGGCUGUCGUCAGCUCGUGUCGUGAGAUGUUGGGUUAAGUCCCGUAACGAGCGCAACCCUUGUCGUUAGUUGCCAGCAUUUAGUUGGGCACUCUAGCGAGACUGCCGGUGUCAAACCGGAGGAAGGUGGGGAUGACGUCAAGUCCUCAUGGCCCUUAUGUCCAGGGCUACGACACGUGCUACAAUGGCCGGUACAAGAGCAGCCAGCUAGUGAUAGUGAGCAAAUCUCAAAAACCGGU